ensembl:rRNA 5S_rRNA 5S ribosomal RNA
GCUUUCAGUCACAUCUCCCUGAGAAUGCCCGAUCGUGUCUGAUCUCGGACGCUAAGCUCGGUCGGGCCUGGUUAGUACUUAGAUGGGAGGCCGCCUGGGAAUACCAGGUGCUGUAAGCU